rnacentral:antisense_RNA from 1 species
GGCUUCGUUAACAUGUACAUACAAUAGAAACAUGUAUAUGUAGAAAGUGAUGCUGAAUAUGAAGAUAAUAUUAAUCUAACAUAAUCCAAUGAGAAAUCUGAACUUAAUGACGUAUCAGUAGCAAGAGGAAUAAAAUAAGUUAGAGCAGUAUGUGCAAUACACCAUCCUAGUAUACCAACAUUUAUUCUUACAUGUACUUCGUGAUUUUUUGCAUUUUUGCUUUGUAAAAUUAACCUAAUGAAAAAUAAAUAAAUAACUUUAGUAAUAAUACUCAAAUAUUCCAUAGUGCUUUGAGAUGGAAUAGGGAUUGAAGCUAAAAGUAAUGAUUUCAAAAAACAACCCGAUACAGAGUAAGAUAUUGAAGUAAAUAACAAUGGAUUUGUUCCUGUUGUUUCAAAAACACUUGAGAUAUUAUACAUUAAAUAAUAUGGUCCCAUUAAUAGUAUCAUUAAUGUUAUUCCUGAAAAUACUGGAAACCCCAUUUUUUUUUAAUUUAAUUUAAAUUCAAA